ensembl:snRNA U6 U6 spliceosomal RNA
GUGCUCGCUUUGGCAGCACGCACUCCAAAACUGGAACGAUGCAGAGAAGAUUAGCAUGGCCCCUGUGCAGGGGUGGUACCCACAU